UACGGGGGGGGGCAAGCGUUGUUCGGAAUUACUGGGCGUAAAGGGCUCGUAGGUGGCCAACUAAGUCGGAUGUGAAAUCUCCAGGCUCAACCUGGAGGGGUCAUUCGAUACUGCCGUGACUAGAGUUCGGUAGGGGAGUGUGGAAUUCCUGGUGGAGCGGUGAAAUGCGCAGAUAUCAGGAGGAACACCCGUAGCGAAGGCGGCACUCUGGGCCGAUACUGACACUGAGGAGCGAAAGCGUGGGGAGCGAACAGG
rnacentral:rRNA from 1 species